rnacentral:lncRNA from 1 species
AGUCUCACCGUCCGCCCGGCUCCGGGCGCAGCCGGUGCGCUGUUCCCAGGCCCCGCGGCGCGCGGGAGCUGCGCGUCCAGGAGGGGCCCGGACGCCCUUCUUGGGGAGGGGGCUGCGGGGCGCAUCAUGAGCGGCGCUGGGCGAGCUCGAGGGCCGGGCAGCCUACCUGGACCCCGGCUUCUAGAGAGCCGUCGCCGUCCUUGUCGAGACUCGCUUUCGCCCCUCUGAGGAAUAAGUUAAAAACCGCGAGUCUGGUUCUGAGCCGCCCCCUGGCGCAGGCGCGACCCCACCCGGCCCUCCCGUCUCCCAACUUGGGACAGACGCGGCGGCCGGGCGGUCGGAUCCGUGAGCCUCGGCCGCUGGGGCUACAUACACAGCCCAGGACGCCACAGAAUCGCCGAGGCCCCGCGAACGCCCAAACGGCCGCAAGUCGAAGUGAUCCCAUCUGAAGAAGACAGCGCGAGGAAGCGAGACCCUGCUGUGUGCCGGCCCCCGGAGGGCGCCCCGGGCCCUGUGGGUCGGAGGGUGGGGAAGCACAGAGAAACACGCAGGCAGUAAAACGUUAGGAGGACAGGGGGUGCCAGCGUGCAGGAAAUGCUGCUAAGAGACCUUUAGGAGCCAAGGGGAAAACGGAGAGAUUGGCAGUUCCAGGCACCCACAUCCCAGCGCGGUCCGCUCACCCCUUCCUCCCUGCCCUCCAGGCAGCGCUCAGCCCACGGUAGAAAUGUCUUGCAUCUUUUUUCCGACGAGGAAGAAUUGAACUUUUUAUACCCAACUUUUCUGCUUUCUUAGAAAUGUUGACUCACCUGUGAGGAAGCAUUAUUUGAAACUAUUAUUGUAAAUUGCUUGACAUUUGAAUUAGAUGCUGAAAGAUUAAAGGGUCUCAGAAGAAUCUUUUAAGCUAGACUGGAAUUGACUCUGCCUAAAUGGACAGCAACAGUCAUCUAUACGCAGGAAUAAUAAAGCAGGUGGAGGCAGCCUCUAACUUACCUUCCAGCCACACCGUAGAAUUUCCUGAGCAGGCUUUUUUGUCAGAGUUUUGAGCUGGGUUCCCUGAGACUGGAUUGGGGCUUUCAGUUUCUCCCCUUCUAGAGUCAGACUUCUUCCUGAAGAAAAAGUGUUAUCUCUACUUCCCUAUCACAAACACUUCCUAGAACACAGCCCUGUUAAAAGAUACUCUACAAGAGGUAUCAAUGUUAUCUCCUGUGUACUCAACAAAACCCUGCAGGAGGAGCAGCCGUGAAGGAACUUUUCCUGGGAGUGCCUAGGGAGGACAUGAUCACAUUUCACCUUAUUGCGUGUUUC